rnacentral:rRNA from 1 species
AGUGAACGCUGGCGGUAGGCCUAACACAUGCAAGUCGAACGGCAGCACAGUAAGAGCUUGCUCUUACGGGUGGCGAGUGGCGGACGGGUGAGGAAUACAUCGGAAUCUACUUUUUCGUGGGGGAUAACGUAGGGAAACUUACGCUAAUACCGCAUACGACCUACGGGUGAAAGCAGGGGAUCUUCGGACCUUGCGCGAUUGAAUGAGCCGAUGUCGGAUUAGCUAGUUGGCGGGGUAAAGGCCCACCAAGGCGACGAUCCGUAGCUGGUCUGAGAGGAUGAUGAGCCACACUGGAACUGAGAAACGGUCCAGACUCCUACGGGAGGCAGCAGUGGGGAAUAGUGGACAAUGGGCGCAAGCCUGAUCCAGCCAUACCGCGUGGGUGAAGAAGGCCUUCGGGUUGUAAAGCCCUUUUGUUGGGAAAGAAAAGCAGCAGGUUAAUACCCCGCUGUUCUGACGGUACCCAAAGAAUAAGCACCGGCUAACUUCGUG